rnacentral:rRNA from 1 species
UGCAGUCGAGCGAAUGGAUUGAGAGCUUGCUCUCAAGAAGUUAGCGGCGGACGGGUGAGUAACACGUGGGUAACCUGCCCAUAAGACUGGGAUAACUCCGGGAAACCGGGGCUAAUACCGGAUAACAUUUUGAACCGCAUGGUUCGAAAUUGAAAGGCGGCUUCGGCUGUCACUUAUGGAUGGACCCGCGUCGCAUUAGCUAGUUGGUGAGGUAACGGCUCACCAAGGCAACGAUGCGUAGCCGACCUGAGAGGGUGAUCGGCCACACUGGGACUGAGACACGGCCCAGACUCCUACGGGAGGCAGCAGUAGGGAAUCUUCCGCAAUGGACGAAAGUCUGACGGAGCAACGCCGCGUGAGUGAUGAAGGCUUUCGGGUCGUAAAACUCUGUUGUUAGGGAAGAACAAGUGCUAGUUGAAUAAGCUGGCACCUUGACGGUACCUAACCAGAAAGCCACGGCUAACUACGUGCCAGCAGCCGCGGUAAUACGUAGGUGGCAAGCGUUAUCCGGAAUUAUUGGGCGUAAAGCGCGCGCAGGUGGUUUCUUAAGUCUGAUGUGAAAGCCCACGGCUCAACCGUGGAGGGUCAUUGGAAACUGGGAGACUUGAGUGCAGAAGAGGAAAGUGGAAUUCCAUGUGUAGCGGUGAAAUGCGUAGAGAUAUGGAGGAACACCAGUGGCGAAGGCGACUUUCUGGUCUGUAACUGACACUGAGGCGCGAAAGCGUGGGGAG